rnacentral:siRNA from 1 species
ACCCCGGAGAGUGCCUCGCGCGGC